rnacentral:rRNA from 1 species
CAUGCCGCGUGUGUGAAGAAGGCCUUCGGGUUGUAAAGCACUUUCAGCGAGGAGGAAGGGGUUGUAGUUAAUAGCUGCAAUUUUUGACGUUACUCGCAGAAGAAGCACCGGCUAACUCCGUGCCAGCAACCUCGGUGACUGAGCGGGCUGGCAAGGCGCAUA